AUUGAACGCUGGCGGCAGGCCUAACACAUGCAAGUCGAACGGUAACAGGAAACAGCUUGCUGUUUCGCUGACGAGUGGCGGACGGGUGAGUAAUGUCUGGGAAACUGCCUGAUGGAGGGGGAUAACUACUGGAAACGGUAGCUAAUACCGCAUAACGUCGCAAGACCAAAGAGGGGGACCUUCGGGCCUCUUGCCAUCGGAUGUGCCCAGAUGGGAUUAGCUAGUAGGUGGGGUAACGGCUCACCUAGGCGACGAUCCCUAGCUGGUCUAAGAGGAUGACCAGCCACACUGGAACUGAGACACGGUCCAGACUCCUACGGGAGGCAGCAGUGGGGAAUAUUGCACAAAGGGCGCAAGCCCGAUGCAGCCAUGCCGCGUGUAUGAAGAAGGCCUUCGGGUUGUAAAGUACUUUCAGCGGGGAGGAAGGGAGUAAAGUUAAUACCUUUACUCAUUGACGUUACCCGCAGAAGAAGCACCGGCUAACUCCGUG
rnacentral:rRNA from 1 species